rnacentral:rRNA from 1 species
UGGGGAAUAUUGGACAAUGGGCGAAAGCCUGAUCCAGCCAUGCCGCGUGAGUGAUGAAGGCUUUAGGGUUGUAAAGCUCUUUCGCCGAUGAAGAUAAUGACGGUAGUCGGAGAAGAAGCCCCGGCUAACUUCGUGCCAGCAGCCGCGGUAAUACGAAGGGGGCUAGCGUUGUUCGGAAUUACUGGGCGUAAAGCGAGCGUAGGUUGUAUGGCAAGUCAGUGGUGAAAUCCCGGAGCUUAACUUCGGAACU